rnacentral:rRNA from 1 species
AACGAACGCUGGCGGCGUGCCUAACACAUGCAAGUCGAACGUGAUUAGAGAGCUUGCUCUCUAUGAAAGUGGCGCACGGGUGAGUAACGCGUAGAUAAUCUGCCUGAUGAUCGGGGAUAACACUUCGAAAGGGGUGCUAAUACCGGAUAAGCUCACGGAGUCUUUGGAUUCUGCGGGAAAAGGGGGGGACCUUCGGGCCUUCUGUCAUCAGAUGAGUCUGCGUACCAUUAGCUAGUUGGUAGGGUAAAGGCCUACCAAGGCGACGAUGGUUAGCUGGUCUGAGAGGAUGAUCAGCCACACUGGAACUGAGACACGGUCCAGACUCCUACGGGAGGCAGCAGUGGGGAAUUUUGCGCAAUGGGGGAAACCCUGACGCAGCAACGCCGCGUGAGUGAUGAAGGCUCUUGGGUCGUAAAGCUCUGACAGAGGGAAAGAAGUGUAUUGUGGCUAAUAUCCACGAUACUUGACGGUACCCUCAAAGGAAGCACCGGCUAACUCCGUGCCAGCAGCCGCGGUAAUACGGGGGGUGCAAGCGUUGUUCGGAUUUAUUGGGCGUAAAGCGCGUGUAGGCGGUUUGUUAAGUCUGUUGUGAAAGCCCUGGGCUCAACCCGGGAAGUGCACUGGAUACUGGCAGACUUGAAUACGGGAGAGGAGAGUGGAAUUCCUGGUGUAGGAGUGAAAUCCGUAGAUAUCAGGAGGAACACCGGUGGCGAAGGCGGCUCUCUGGACCGAUAUUGACGCUGAGACGCGAAAGCGUGGGUAGCAAACAGGAUUAGAUACCCUGGUAGUCCACGCCGUAAACGAUGAGUACUAGGUGUUGCGGGUAUUGACCCCUGCAGUGCCGCAGCUAACGCAUUAAGUACUCCGCCUGGGAAGUACGGUCGCAAGACUA